rnacentral:misc_RNA from 1 species
GUUCGAGCGUCAUUUCAACCCUCAAGCUCUGCUUGGUAUUGGGCCGUACCGGUAACGGUAGGUCCUAAAACUAGUGGCGGUGCGUCUGGUACUAAGCGUAGUAAUUCUUCUCGCUAUAGUUUCCCGGUGGUAUCUAGCAGGAACCCCCAAUUUUCUCUAUGGUUGACCUCGGAUCAGGUAGGGAUACCCGCUGAACUUAA